rnacentral:lncRNA from 1 species
CUGGAGCCGUUUUUCUGAGCUGAACUUUCCCAUCUGGAAUCUGUCUGGUUGGUGGUGCCCUGACCCCACCUUCAGUCAGCCCAUGGGUCUCCCCGCCAACUUCCUACUCACCCAAUGUCCUGUGUUGGCCCUGAGGCCAGUGUCAGAGGAGAAAGAAGAGGAGGAAGAGCACCAGCUGAAGGCCACUGAGACCCCGAUCACAACCCCCAGGUGCUUUCCCAGACCCUGAGGUGCCCAGACUGUGACCAUGAAGGC